rnacentral:rRNA from 1 species
AAUAGAUACCCGGGUAGUCCACGCCGUAAACGAUGGAUACUAGCUGUUGGAGGUAUCGACCCCUUCAGUAGCGAAGCUAACGCGUUAAGUAUCCCGCCUGUGGAGUACGGUCGCAAGACUAAAACAUAAAGGAAUUGACGGGGACCCGCACAAGCGGUGGAUCGUGUUCUUUAAUUCGAUGCUAAACGAAGAACCUUACCAGGGUUUGACAUCCCUUGAAUUAAUCCGAAAGGAUUGAGUGCUUUAUUGAACAAGGUGACAGGUGAUGCAUGGCCGUCGUCAGCUCGUGUCGUGAGAUGUUUGGUUAAGUCCAUCAACGAGCGCAACCCUUGCAAGUAGUUGUAUUUUUCUACUUGGACUGCCCCGGUAACGGGGAGGAAGGAGGGGAUGAUGUCAGGUCAGUAUUUCCCUUACGAUCCUGGGCUAGAAACACGAUACAAUGGCUAGUACAAUGCGCAGCGAAGCCGCGAGGUGAAGCAAAUCGCAUCAAAGCUAGUCCCAGUUCGGAUUGGAGGCUGAAACUCGCCUCCAUGAAGUCGG